rnacentral:rRNA from 1 species
GGUUAAGUGACUAAGCGUACACGGUGGAUGCCUAGGCAGUCAGAGGCGAUGAAGGGCGUGCUAAUCUGCGAUAAGCGUCGGUAAGGUGAUAUGAACCGUAAUAACCGGCGAUACCCGAAUGGGGAAACCCAGUGCAAUUCGUUGCACUAUCAUACGAUGAAUACAUAGUCGUAUGAGGCGAACCGGGGGAACUGAAACAUCUAAGUACCCCGAGGAAAAGAAAUCAACCGAGAUUCCCCCAGUAGCGGCGAGCGAACGGGGAGGAGCCCAGAACCUGAAUCAGUUCUUGUGUUAGUGGAAGCGUCUGGAAAGUCGCACAGUAAAGGGUGAUAGUCCCGUACACUAAAAUGCAUUAACUGUGAGUUCGAUGAGUAGGGCGGGACACGUGACAUCCUGUCUGAAUAUGGGGGGACCAUCCUCCAAGGCUAAAUACUCCUGACUGACCGAUAGUGAACCAGUACCGUGAGGGAAAGGCGAAAAGAACCCCGGCGAGGGGAGUGAAAUAGAACCUGAAACCGUGUACGUACAAGCAGUGGGAGCACCUUCGUGGUGUGACUGCGUACCUUUUGUAUAAUGGGUCAGCGACUUAUAUUUUGUAGCAAGGUUAACCGUAUAGGGGAGCCGUAGGGAAACCGAGUCUUAACUGGGCGAAUAGUUGCA